GAUGAACGCUAGCUACAGGCUUAACACAUGCAAGUCGAGGGGAAACGACAUUGAAGCUUGCUUCGAUGGGCGUCGACCGGCGCACGGGUGAGUAACGCGUAUCCAACCUGCCUCUGACUAAGGGAUAACCCGGCGAAAGUCGGACUAAUACCUUAUGAGGUUUUCUGCAGACAUCUAACGAAAACGAAAGAUUUAUCGGUCAGUGAUGGGGAUGCGUCUGAUUAGCUUGUUGGCGGGGUAACGGCCCACCAAGGCAACGAUCAGUAGGGGUUCUGAGAGGAAGGUCCCCCACAUUGGAACUGAGACACGGUCCAAACUCCUACGGGAGGCAGCAGUGAGGAAUAUUGGUCAAUGGGCGAGAGCCUGAACCAGCCAAGUAGCGUGCAGGAUGACGGCCCUAUGGGUUGUAAACUGCUUUUAUGUGGGGAUAAAGUGAGCUACGUGUAGUUUAUUGCAGGACCACAUGAAUAAG
rnacentral:rRNA from 1 species